rnacentral:misc_RNA from 1 species
GAUGAAGAACGUAGCGAAAUGCGAUAAGUAAUGUGAAUUGCAGAAUUCAGUGAAUCAUCGAGUCUUUGAACGCACAUUGCGCCGCCUGGUAGUCCGGGGGGCAUGCCUGUCCGAGCGUCAUUGCUGCCCUCAAGCACGGCUUGUGUGUUGGGCCCCCGUCCCCGGUUUCCCCCGGGGACGGGCCCGAAAGGCAGCGGCGGCACCGCGUCCGGUCCUCGAGCGUAUGGGGCUUUGUCACCCGCUCUGUAGGCCCGGCCGGCGCCAGCCGACACCCAACUUUAUUUCUAAGGUUGACCUCGGAUCAGGUAGGGAUACCCGCUGAACUUAAGCAUAUCAAUAAGCGGAGGA